CAUCUCAGUUCAGAUUGCAGGCUGCAACUCGCCCUGCAUGAAGUCGGAAUUGCUAGUAAUCGUAGGUCAGCAUACUACGGUGAAUACGUUCCCGGGCCUUGUACACACCGCCCGUCAAACCAUGAGAGUUGGCAACACCCGAAGUCGGUAGUCUAACCGCAAGGAGGACGCCGCCGAAGGUGGGGGUUGAUGAUUAGGGUUAAGUCGUAACAAGGUAGC
rnacentral:rRNA from 1 species